UGGCAGCUGCUGAAGGAGUGGCAUUGGGCGAAACGGUGGUGUCAACACCAGCGGCAGUACAAUCAACUAUUUGGCAGUUUUGUUCGUUAUAAGUUGAAUUCGUUAUUUGUCGUUCAUUUUCCUCUACAAUUCGCAACAGCUGAGCACUUAAUUCUUCAAGAUUAUCCUCGAAGCGGUCAUCGUCCAUACUUUGUGUUUCGAUCUUAUCGAAUAUAUUAUUUAGCUUCACUUGUGCUUGCUGGCAUUGCAUGCGAAAGCACACAUUUUUCGCAAAAUAGAAUAUUGCACAAGACGCCUGCAAAAUUUUCAUUGCUGCCACUCGCGCUUCCAAACGCACACUGUUCUUUCUGCUAUUUUUACUAUUUGCUCCAGCGAAUUUUCGCAUCUUUACAACUCUCGUCCAUUUGUAUCUACACUCGGGCGCAGCACAAAUCCUGUGGGAGGAAAUCUGUGAAAAAAAAUCUCAUCCCCCACCUUCUUGGUUGGGCAUUUGGCAUGCUUGCUCAGCAUGGUGCUUCGCCAUCGUUCGCAGCGAAUUGUUGUUGAUUUAUCGAAGCAUAUUUACAGGCGCACAUGCAGUCGUCGACCUUCAAUGUGUUUACCUUGUGUAUGUGUAUGCGUGUAUGCGUAUUGCACUGUAUUUGUUAUUGCUUUUUACUGUCUCUAUUUUGUGUUUCUUCGCAAAACAAAACAACAAAAACAAUAAUAACGCAUAUGAGAGCAAAACAAAACUGCCGAUUAACUAAACAAACAUUUGAAGCGCUCAGAUGUCACAGCAAAAUCGUCCUCCUUGCACACAUCUGGAAGGUAGCAGUGUUCGUUUUGUAGAAUGAGGCCGCAUGUUUACAAACACAUUGCGUAGCGGUAAAAGGAUGGAAAUAUCAUGGGAGGAACUUUUGAACUUCACUUUAGCCAAAAAAUCAAACGAUAUUCGUGAUUAUUUUCGAACAAAAUCCCAAUUGACUUAGGACAAUUAUAACGCUAAUAAGUUAUCAAAUAUAUGUAAAUAAAAAAUACAUUUUGAAAC